rnacentral:rRNA from 1 species
UACGUAGGGGGCAAGCGUUGUCCGGAAUUAUUGGGCGUAAAGAGCGCGUAGGCGGUCCGAUAAGUCGGCUGUGAAAGUCAAGGGCUCAACCCUUGAAAGCCGGCCGAUACUGUCGGACUAGAGCCCGGAAGAGGCGAGUGGAAUUCCCGGUGUAGCGGUGAAAUGCGCAGAUAUCAGGAGGAACACCGGUGGCGAAGGCGGUUCUCUGGGCCUUACCUGACACUGAGGAGCGAAAGCGUGGGGAGCGAACAGG